GACAGAGGAUGCAAGCGUUAUCCGGAAUGAUUGGGCGUAAAGCGUCUGUAGGUGGUUUGACAAGUCUUUUGUCAAAGAUCAGGCUUAACCCUGGGCCGGCAAGAGAAACUAUCAGACUAGAGUUCGGUAGGGGCAGAGGGAAUUUCCGGUGGAGCGGUGAAAUGCGUAGAGAUCGGAAAAGAACACCAACGGCGAAAGCACUCUGCUGGGCCGACACUGACACUGGAGAGACGAAAGCUAGGGGAGCGAAUGGG
rnacentral:rRNA from 1 species